rnacentral:rRNA from 1 species
UGGUGGGUUGCCUUGUCAGGUUGAUUCCGGUAACGAACGAGACCUCAGCCUGCUAAAUAGUCGGAGCCAGGUCCCCUGGCUGCCCGGACUUCUUAGAGGGACUAUCGGCGACUAGCCGGUGGAAGCUUGAGGCAAUAACA